CGUGAGGUCUCCGUGGCGGCCCAACCCCGGCGGAAGGCGACGGCGCCUCUUGCUGGACGGAGGGAAUUCCUACGACCAGAGCUCUCGCUGCAGGAGGAAGACCCAAUAAGGAAAUCAACUCUUAAAUCUUUUCCUGACUGAGAACACUAUCGCACAGCAUGGCUGCAAGUAAACAAAAGGUGGUGCAGUGGUAAAGAAUCUGCCUGCCAAUGCAGGGGACAUGGGUUCGAGCCCUGCCCUGGGAAGAUUCCACAUGCCACGGAGCAACUAAGCCUGUGCGCCACAACUAUUGAGCCUGCGCUCUAGAGCCCGUGAGCCACAACUACUGAGCCCAUCUGCCGCAAAUGUUGAGGCCCACGCGCGUAGGGCCCGUGCUCCACAACAAGAGAAUCCACUACAAUGAGGAGCCUCCACACCUCAAUGAAGAGUGGCCCCCGCCUGCAGCAACUAGAGGGAGCCCGUGUGCAGCAACAAAGACCCAACACAGCCAAUAAAUAAAUAAACAAAUAAAUGUAUUAAAAAAAUAAAUAAAAUAAAAUUAACAUC